GCGGAUAUGGUGGAACUGGCAGACACGCCGGUCUUAGGAGCCGGUGCGAAAGCAUGUGGGUUCGAAUCCCACUAUCCGCACCA
rnacentral:tRNA from 1 species